rnacentral:snRNA from 1 species
GUGCUCGCUUCGGCAGCAUAUAUACUAAAAUUGGAAUGAUACAGAGAAGAAUAGCAUGGCCUCUGCGCAAGGAUGACACACAAAUUUGUGAAGCGUUCCAUAUUUUU